UGCCAGGUCAUCUAAUGGCAGGAUGGCAGGCUCUGAACCUGCUCGUGAAGGUUCGAGUCCUUCCCUGGCAG
rnacentral:tRNA from 1 species